CACAAGGGCCUGGUCCCAACCCUACUAUCAAUCUUUACUUAACUUACACAUGCAAGCCUCAACACCCCCGUGAAAACGCCCUUAAACCCCGCCCGGGAAUAAGGAGCUGGUAUCAGGCACAAUACCCGCCCAAAACACCUAGCCACGCCACACCCACAAGGGUACUCAGCAGUGAUUAACAUUGAGCAUAAACGUCAGUUUGACUCAGUUAGAGUAACUAGGGCCGGCAAAUCCGGUGCCAGCCGCCGCGGAUACACCGUAAGGCCCAAAUUGAUAUCAACGGCGUAAAGCGUGGUUUAAGCAUAUUAGAUUAAGGCUAAAUUAAAGCUGAGCUGUAAAAAGCCUGCUACCAAGAAGUUCAGGAGCGAAAGCCGCCUUAACUACACCUACUUGAACCCACGACAAUUGGGACACAAACUGGGAUUAGAUACCCCACUAUGCCUAAUCGUAAACUUUUAACUUACCCCCUUUCCCGCCAGAGAACUACAAGCGAAAGCUUCAAACUCAAGGGACUUGACGGCACCCCAUAUCCCCCUAGAGGAGCCUGUCCUGUAAUCGAUAACCCCCGAUCAACCUCCCCACUUAUAGCUUUUUCAGCCUGUAUACUUCCGUCGCCAGCUUACCCCGUGAGGGCUACUAGUAAGCCCAAUGUUUUCCACAAUACGCCAGGUCAAAGUGCAGCUCAUAAAGUGGAAAGAGAUGGGCUACACUUUCUAAACUAGAAAAAACGAAAAACACUUUGAAAUUUGUGUUAGAAGGUGGAUUUAGCAGUAAAAAGAAAACACGAGCGUUCUCUUUAAGCCGGCAAUGGAGUGUGUACACACCGCCCGUCACCCUCUUCAAAGCAUUUAACCCAGUUUGUAACAAUCUUUGCACCCUAGAAGAGGCAAGUC
rnacentral:ncRNA from 1 species